rnacentral:rRNA from 1 species
CAGGUGCUGCAUGGCUGUCGUCAGCUCGUGUCGUGAGAUGUUGGGUUAAGCCCCGCAACGAGCGCAACCCUUGUCAUUAGUUGCUACAUUCAGUUGGGCACUCUAAUGAGACUGCCGGUGACAAACCGGAGGAAGUGGGGAUGACGUCAAGUCCUCAUGGCCCUUAUAGGUGGGGCUACACACGUCAUACAAUGGAUGGUACAAAGGGUCGCCAACCCGCAGGGGGAGCCAAUCCCAUAAAGCCAUUCGUAGUCCGGAUCGCAGUCUGCAACUCGACUGCGUGAAGUCGGAAUCGCUAGUAAUCGUGGAUCAGAAUGUCACGGUGAAUACGUUCCCGGGUCUU